UCGGAGGAUAUCGAGUAGUUUAAGCACCCACAAAAUGGAAAAAACACAAAAACAUUUUCAAUACAUAUACCUGACCAAGGUAUCAUAUUCAAUAUAUAAAGAAAUCGCGCAGGUCAAUAUUUAAAGAGAUUAGAAGGAGAAUUUAAAAAUGGGGGAAAGAUUUGAAGACGCUUCACAACAGAGUUCCAAUGACCCUAAGUCUAUGACGAGGUACUCAAAUUCAUUCAUCAGGGAAGCGCAAAUGCUCUUCCUAGGCGACAAACAGGAUGACACGCUGACUACAACGGCUUGCGUCUAGAAAAGCACAGAAAUGCCAGGUGUGCGUACGUUAGAGAAGCGAGCGACGCCGCCGCCGCCGAGGAGCGGUCCCCAGCCGUCCCCAGCGCCCCGCUCCCCGGCGCGGUCCCGCACACCCCGGAAACGCCCACAGCGGCCGCAGCCCGAGCCUCAAACCAGCGAGGGCGCCCGUCCCGCCACAGCCACGCACGCGCCGCCCCAGGACGGCUCCGUCCUCCAGGUGACGGCUCGGCAGCGGGAUCCUCCACUCCCCACACCCAGGGCCGCGGCAAGAGGCGACCGUCCGGCCGACCGUCUCUACCUGCCCCCAGGCUGCGGCCGACGAGCACGAGCAGGUAUUUUGCAAGCUGAUUGUUAACUACAACUGUUAUUUCAAGCUGUGCUCGUAAAGUUACUGAAAUGUACAGCAGUGUGCCACUCCUUCAAUGACCUCACUUUGGAAGCUGGCAUCAGUCCUGGUGGAAGAAUUUGCACCUUGGAAAUCAGAAAACGACACAAAUCAGGGCCGGUUUCCCUCCCUCUUGUAGAGCAGUUAUUAGCUGGAGCAAACCAUGAGAGCUGCCAAAGUUUUGGAAAGCACCUAAAUGAAGAUUUUCCAUUUGGGGAGCUAACGUCAACCAACCAGCUGAUCAAAGGAAACAAGCAGCAAGGUCAUCCUCCAGAGGGAAGAAUGUGGUAUUUGAGGUCCUGAGAGAGAAAAGAACGACAAGGCUAAAAAGGCAUGGUUACUGCACAGAAAUGCCUCAUCCACAAAGUGCAAAGGCACCCGGCAGCUAGCUGUCAUCGUCGUCGUCACCUGAAAAACCAGGACUGAGCAUGGAUUGUGCUGACAUCGGCAUAUUAGGUUAUGUAUCCAUGAAAUCGUCACAAAUUUCAAGGACAUUCAUGGCAAACUUCUCAGGGGAUCAAAGAUGAAAAGGAUGCUCAGAAUGGAAGAGAGGAGUUUGAAUUUGCCAAGAUAUUGCAUGGCUGUAGCAUCCAAGGAUUGAAACCGGUGAGAACCAUCCAGAGGAGAUGAAGGGAUGCAGACCUGGAGUGCCCGGUGGGGUGGGGGCGGUGAUUACUGGCAAUCAGGGAAAUCUAAGCCCACAGAAAAAAACAGCCCCUCCUCCACCUGCCUGUCAACCCUUGCUGUCAGCUUCUGAUUUGGGCAAGAUUCUGUCUGAGGUGAGUCCCACGGCUUUCAUCCACCCGCUAACUCUCACUGAAGUGUGAAUAAAGGAUCAAGGCUGCUGGCUCAGGAAAGGGGAACAGGGACGUGAGGAAUUCAUGUGCAGGAAGAAUUGGGCCUUAUUCACCCAGUGCACUGUCAGCUCGGUGUCGUGUGAGUCCCCAGCUCCUUACCCUAUGCCACAAGAAGGCGGGACCCACUAAAUCCCAAGACAACACACCUGUACACACCUGUAUCCCCCCCAUACACCCACACACACACACACACACACAAUCUGAUCUCUGUCUCAGAGGAGGCACACAUUCUCAGCUAGGUGUACAUCGAGGGGCAGAGAGCGAAACAGCAAUGGGGACAACCGCCUGGGCUGACGACAUGGGAGGAAAACAAGGAGGAGACAGGACACACCAAGGCCCGAUGGGGAUGAAUCAGGACCGGGCAGGUUCUUGGACUCACCCUGGACGGGGUUCUGCGGAGAAUACCUGCUGGCAUGAACACAUCCCUGCCCCGCUGAAACUGACCCAUCAGCGGGGGCGGAGAGGAGAAAGCAAGCCCUCCUCUGGCCCAAAACCAAGGUGCAGAAACUGAGGAGACAUCGUUGGCUUGCAGAGCCAGCUCUAGAAGUGCUCAGGAGAAGGGUUGCUGACCUUACACAUUUCAUGAUAGCUGUUUGAUUAUUUUGCCUACAGAAAAAGAAGGAAAUGAUGAGGAGAGUAUACUUAAGAAGUAUGCCUUUCUCACCUGCCCCUCAGAUCCGAUCUCUGAGCACCACCAGGGGGGUAAGCGUCUCCAGCCGCUCCUCCCACACACAUGCAACUGUUCAUUACACAGCCGAGACCUAUUUUGCCACUGGGUCCUUUUAUUCGACAACACAUCUUGGCUAUCGAAACACAUUGGCAUGUAGACUCUGUUUAGACUUCUCACCGCUUCAUUAACUCCAUUGACUAGUACUUUUUACAUUGAUCAAUCUCGUCUUAGGUGAAUAGACAUCCAGAUUGUUUUUUUUUUUAAUUUUCUAGUCUUAUCUAAACUAUGCUAUAUGGUAUACCCCUUGUACAUGUAUUUUUGCGCACUUGUUAGGAGUUUCGGGGGCAAGCGGGCCACUGGAGAGAAUUGCCCCGGUUUGCUCUGGAUGUAGCCACAGCAGCCCAGGUGCUGUCAGAAGAGGCCACAGGGGCCCGGGGCUCCCCAGGGGGACCUGGGAGGGGCAGAGCCAUUGCUGGCGGGGAAGGGAAUGGAUCACAUUUUGAGUCUCCCCUUGCCACCAGACCUGGGGAGGGAGAUUAACUGGGGGGACCUUGGGAAAUUCACCCAGGGGAACGCAGACCUCAUCCAGGCCCCCUCAGGGCUGCCACACGUGGGACAAGCCCACUGAGGGUAAAUUAAGUCAACAAUGCCCAGGAAGGAGGGGUCAGUGGGGUCUCUCUCUCUCUCUCUCUCUCUCUUGCCUACUCCAAUGGCUUUGGAAAACACCUACUUAGCCCCUGAGAGCCCAGGCCACCCGCUUGAGAACUGGGCCUGGGAGGAAGAAGUGGCAGCAGGAGGGGUACAAUCCAGGUUCACAGUCGCAGCCAUUCGUCCCGGUACAAGAACCAAGGCCCCCCUGUCAGCUAUAACAUCACAGGCAUGAGGCGGGCACCUCUGCCAAGUGUCGCUUAGGGAGCUAGAGAGGCUUAUCUAGGUAGCUUGAAAUGCUGACAAAAAUACCUUCCUUACCUUUCACGCUCCAGAGCUGUGGCAUGCCUAAACAUCCUGCUAAUGUUCCUCUUUUACGGUCUUUUUAACCCGAUUUUCGAGUGAGCAUCAUAUAAUCACUCUACCGGGGAAGUGAGUUUGAUAAUCUCCAUGGCAUAACCAUCAACGGCGAGCUAGAGACUUCGGUCGGAGCACCCUGCAUCCUCGCACAUGCGCUCGACCCGGAGCUGACAGCAAGUGCCCUGGACCCAAGUGUCGCCAUCGGGCGGCCGAACCAAGGGACUACUCGCCCAUCGUCGUUGGGGACACCGUAGGUUUUGGGAGAAACUGCACUCUGCAGGACACAGAAGCAUUACUCCAUCACUCAAGUCUUGCUCAUCCUUCUGGAAAGGUUUCUUUGACCAUAAAACAUCAAGACAAGAGCACAAACAACACGUGUGCCUGAGAGCCCACGUUGCUGUCUGCUUUAACCUGAUGUGUGGCGCAGCCAGUGUCCUCACUGUCGUUGUUUGUGUAUCUGUGUGUGUGUCUUGUCUCCGGCAGCAUCAGCUGUCCAAGGGCAGGGGCCCCUGUAAUUCUCUCCCAGGCGCUGCUGAGGGUACCCUGGGCUGCGUCGGGAGGUUGGUUGUAGACAAUGGCUCACCGGUUACAGGAGGCACAGACGCCUCCCAAUGCCUGGCUUGCUCACCUCAUCAAGAAAUCUUCGUGAGAGAUGCCUUGGGGGUGCUCAGUGGGUGAGUGUCUGCCCUCAGCUCAGAGCGUGACUCCAGGGUCCUGGGAUCCAGUCCUACAUCAGGCUCCCUGCAGGGAGCCUGCUUCUCCCUCUGCCUGUGUCUCUGCCUUUCUGUGCCUCUCAUGAAUCAAUAAAGAAAAUCUUUUAAAUAAAUAAAAAAGAGAAAUCUUCAAGUGAGGCAAAAUGC